rnacentral:lncRNA from 1 species
GUUGCUCAGCAGUUAGCGUUCUAUGUUGUGUUUUGUAUACUUAUAGAUUAUUGUUGAUCAUCUCAACGAGAUUGAUUUUCUCGCUUCAGCAGGGACGGCGAAAGCGAGAAAGGCAAUUGAGUUGAGAUGACCAAUGAUAAUCUGUUUAUCGCUAUUUUACCUAUGGCGACGUUGUCAUUUUCAUGUCAAUUUCGUUAGCAACGCCACGUGCCUGCUUAGUUUCUAGCAAUAAUU